CAACAAAGCAGCUCAACACGAAAGUUGCACUGGCUGAGGACACAGUUUACACUGGGAUUUCCAUGAAGGGAUGGAGGAGCUGUGGCUUGAUCAGUGGAGAGACAACCUUGGGAGAACAGCCAAGAGGCCAAGGAAGAAGACUCUGAGAUGGAGACACUGAAGUCCAGUGACACCCAGCAGUCCUCACACUUGUGCAGCAAUCAUCACACUGACCAGGAGUUUGUAACAAGUGCAGAUUUCUGGACCCCAUUCCAAACCAAAUGUAUCAUAACCUCAAGGAGUGGAACCUAAGACUGCAUUCUUUAUAAGGUCCCCAGGAAGGAUUGGACGAUUGGCAAAUCGGAAAAUUAUUGGUGUGGAAGAGAAACAGCCUAGGCUUGGGAUCUGUAUUAGGUUGAAGAAUAUCCUUCCAAAAUCUGUGACGAGAAACCUUAAAUGUGUGACUAUAAACUCAGAAAGUGACCUUAUUCCAAAAUAGAAUCUAUAUUAGUGUAAUUCCAGUCAACUUUCUAGUCACUACAGUUGGGUUCUAUAAAGUCACUACAAACAUCAAAUUAGAGAAUUUGAGCCAUUGAUUCUGAGAGAAAUGAAAGAGUUAAUAUGUGAGUCUUUUGUGAUAAGGUUUUCCACAAUUAAUCAUAUGUAUCUGUGUGUGUGUGCAUGCAUGCAUUUCACACGCAUUUCUGUUGGCACACUCCUUAUUCAACACAUCUGCUCAAUUCUUUUACACUGAACUCAUGACCAACAGUGCUACAACUCAUGCCUGAAAAAAAAGCUGAUCUAAUGUAAUGUUUCUUCAUCAGACACAUCAGUCUUUUUGCACAUAUGAAUGCCAGACAGCAGCUGGGGGGUGCAUUUUAAACAGCAAAAUCACUAAGAAAAAACACAAAAUUGCAAAACAACAAAAAGUGGUACUAAAUAAAUUGCAAAACAGA